GGGGAAUAUUGGUCAAUGGGCGAGAGCCUGAACCAGCCAAGUAGCGUGAAGGAUGACUGCCCUAUGGGUUGUAAACUUCUUUUAUAAAGGAAUAAAGUCGGGUAUGUAUACCCGUUUGCAUGUACUUUAUGAAUAAGGAUCGGCUAACUCCGUGCCAGCAGCCGCGGUAAUACGGAGGAUCCGAGCGUUAUCCGGAUUUAUUGGGUUUAAAGGGAGCGUAGAUGGAUAUUUAAGUCAGUUGUGAAAGUUUGCGGCUCAACCGUAAAAUUGCAGUUGAUACUGGAUAUCUUGAGUGCAGUUGAGGCAGGCGGAAUUCGUGGUGUAGCGGUGAAAUGCUUAGAUAUCACGAAGAACUCCGAUUGCGAAGGCAGCCUGCUAAGCUGCAACUGACAUUGAGGCUCGAAAGUGUGGGUAUCAAACAGGAUUAGAUACCCUGGUAGUCCACACGGUAAACGAUGAAUACUCGCUGUAGGCGAUAUACAGUCUGCGGCCAAGCGAAAGCAUUAAGUAUUCCACCUGGGGAGUACGCCGGCAACGGUGAAACUCAAAGGAAUUGACGGGGGCCCGCACAAGCGGAGGAACAUGUGGUUUAAUUCGAUGAUACGCGAGGAACCUUACCCGGGCUUAAAUUGCAACCGAAUAUGGCGGAAACGCUAUAGCUAGCAAUAGCGGUUGUGAAGGUGCUGCAUGGUUGUCGUCAGCUCGUGCCGUGAGGUGUCGGCUUAAGUGCCAUAACGAGCGCAACCCUUGCCGAUAGUUACUAACAGGUUAUGCUGAGGACUCUGUCGGGACUGCCAUCGUAAGAUGUGAGGAAGGUGGGGAUGACGUCAAAUCAGCACGGCCCUUACGUCCGGGGCUACACACGUGUUACAAUGGGGGGUACAGAGGGCUGCUACCACGCAAGUGGAUGCCAAUCCCAAAAACCUCUCUCAGUUCGGAUUGAAGUCUGCAACCCGACUUCAUGAAGCUGGAUUCGCUAGUAAUCGCGCAUCAGCCACGGCGCGGUGAAUACGUUCCCG
rnacentral:rRNA from 1 species